rnacentral:rRNA from 1 species
AGUGAACGCUGGCGGUAGGCCUAACACAUGCAAGUCGAACGGCAGCACAGUAAGAGCUUGCUCUUACGGGUGGCGAGUGGCGGACGGGUGAGGAAUACAUCGGAAUCUACUUUUUCGUGGGGGAUAACGUAGGGAAACUUACGCUAAUACCGCAUACGACCUACGGGUGAAAGCAGGGGAUCUUCGGACCUUGCGCGAUUGAAGGAGCCGAUGCCGGAUUAGCUAGUUGGCGGGGUAAAGGCCCACCAAGGCGACGAUCCGUAGCUGGUCUGAGAGGAUGAUCAGCCACACUGGAACUGAGACACGGUCCAGACUCCUACGGGAGGCAGCAGUGGGGAAUAUUGGACAAAGGGCGCAAGCCUGAUCCAGCCAUACCGCGUGGGUGAAGAAGGCCUUCGGGUUGUAAAGCCCUUUUGUUGGGAAAGAAAAGCAGCAGGUUAAUACCCCGCUGUUCUGACGGUACCCAAAGAAUAAGCACCGGCUAACUUCGUG